rnacentral:rRNA from 1 species
AGAGUUUGAUCAUGGCUCAGGACGAACGCUGGCGGCGCGCUUAACACAUGCAAGUCGAACGGAGGUCUUCGGACCUCAGUGGCGAACGGGUGCGUAACACGUGAGCAACCUGCCUGGUCGUGGGGGAUAACCAGUGGAAACGCUGGCUAAUACCGCAUGAGCUCUUUUGCCCGAUUGGGUGAAUGAGGAAAGCUCCUGCAAGGGAGUACGACCAGAGGGGCUCGCGGCGUAUCAGCUAGUUGGAGGGGUAACGGCCCACCAAGGCGAUGACGCGUAGCCGAUCUGAGAGGAUGAUCGGCCACAUUGGGACUGAGAUACGGCCCAGACUCCUACGGGAGGCAGCAGUGGGGAAUCUUGCGCAAUGGGCGAAAGCCUGACGCAGCGACGCCGCGUGCGGGAGGAAGCUUUUCGGAGUGUAAACCGCUGUCAGAGGGGAAGAAAUGCCACCUGAGGAAAUGCGGGUGGUUUGACGGUACCCUCAAAGGAAGCACCGGCUAACUCUGUGCCAGCAGCCGCGGUAAUACAGAGGGUGCAAGCGUUGUUCGGAAUUACUGGGCGUAAAGCGCGCGCAGGCGGCCCUUUAAGUCUGUCGGUCAAACGCCGGGGCUCAACCCCGUGCUCGCCGCGGAUACUGGAGGGCUGGAGACAGGUAGAGGCAGGCGGAAUUCCGGGUGUAGCGGUGGAAUGCGUAGAGAUCCGGAAGAACACCAGAGGCGAAGGCGGCCUGCUGGGCCUUGUCUGACGCUGAGGCGCGAAAGCGUGGGGAGCGAACAGGAUUAGAUACCCCGGUAGUCC